rnacentral:rRNA from 1 species
GCAGCCGCCGCGGGAAUACAGAGGGUGCGAGCGUUAAUCGGAUUUACUGGGCGUAAAGCGUGCGUAGGCGGCUAAUUGAGUCGGAUGUGAAAUCCCCGAGCUUAACUUGGGAAUUGCAUUCGAUACUGGUUAGCUAGAGUGUGGGAGAGGAUGGUAGAAUUCCAGGUGUAGCGGUGAAAUGCGUAGAGAUCUGGAGGAAUACCGAUGGCGAAGGCAGCCAUCUGGCCUAACACUGACGCUGAGGUACGAAAGCAUGGGGAGCAAACAGGAUUAGAUACCCCCGUAGUCCCUGUCUCUUAUAC